rnacentral:rRNA from 1 species
GCCUUGGGUUGUAAAGCUCUUUUGUCAGGGAAGAAACAGCAGCUCUAACACAGUCUGCGAAUGACGGUACCUGAAGAAUAAGCACCGGCUAACUACGUGCCAGCAGCCGCGGUAAUACGUAGGGUGCAAGCGUUAAUCGGAAUUACUGGGCGUAAAGCGUGCGCAGGCGGUUAUACAAGACAGGCGUGAAAUCCCCGGGCUUAACCUGGGAAUGGCGUCUGUGACUGUAUGACUAGAGUGUGUCAGAGGGGGGUAGAAUUCCACGUGUAGCAGUGAAAUGCGUAGAUAUGUGGAGGAAUACCAAUGGCGAAGGCAGCCCCCUGGGAUAACACUGACGCUCAUGCACGAAAGCGUGGGGAGCAAACAGGAUUAAAUACCCUGGUAGUCCACGCCCUAAACGAUGCCGACUAGUUGUUGGGAAUU